GCUAAGAGAAAAAACACACUUUAGACCCCCCUCCUCCUUUCCUAAAUGAACAACGACGCCUCAUCCCUAAUCCUUUCGAAUGAUAUCUUCUCCAAACAGAUAGCCACAACUCAAUGCCCCUUCUAAUUUUCCAUCUCUAACGAGCAGCCACAUAGAGCCAAAGAAAAAAAUUAAUUACAAGAGCUUUCAUCUUCUCCAUAGGCACAAGGACGACAAAAACAAAGGGAUUUGCAGAUAGAAACGAAAAACAGAGCACACAUGAGAACACACACAUAUACGCAGAUAGAGUAGAACAAACAGACGAUAAGAGAGACCUAACCCCUAAGAGAAUAGCUGCUGCUCUUCUGCUGAAGAAUAAAAGACCAAAACAGAAAAUAAACCCCCAAAAAAGGAUGCAAAGUUAUUAUUAAUUUCUAGCUUUUGUUUCAAACCUUCUGGAUUUAAGAAAAAGAAGUUGUCUGUGUAUGAAGAAAUCAUUGUCUCUGCUGGUUCGAUGUGGCUGAGCUUGGUUCUUCGGGUUCGAGACUUUUAUUUGGUCAUUUUUCUCCCGUUUUAUCCUUUAGGUAGGGGGACAUGGCGAUUGCACCACACAUUUUGUAAAGCAGAUAAAAAGGGUGACAGGAAGAUAGAUCCAGAAGAGUGGAAGGAGUUUGCUUCAAAGAAUCCUUCUCUUCUAAAGAAUAUGACCCUUCCCUCUCUGAAGGUCUUUUGACGGCAUAGUGGUGGAUAACCUGAGAUGGACUCCACUAAUUUUCACAUUAAAAAGCCCCUUGGAAGAAAAAAAUCCGGUCAUAGAAAAUUCGGUCAUGCUUUGGCUAAGAAAAUCCGGUCAUGCUUUGGUGGAAAUAAUCAAGCAUUUCAGUGCAAUUCUUCAGGGGGAGUUCACGAUAGGAAGCGACACCUUUAGCAUUCAGAGUACUUACUCUUAAGGGUCAUACAGUCUGAUGAUUCAUAAUUUAGCGGGUGGAAGAUUUCAAUAAGAUGAAGUGUUGCAGAAAUUAUUUGAAGACUUAUUCGUUAGGAUUUGUUAUAUAAUGACAUUAGCCAUUUUCUUGAAAAAAUAUAAGUUUAUUUUUUAAGUUACUAUGAUAUUAAUAUUUUGGAUCACUACUUCCUUUUGU